rnacentral:misc_RNA from 1 species
GGUGAUUGAGUUCACCA